AAGCAAGAUAAGGUAUGAUUUUUCAAUAUUUGCUUGAGAUCUAGCAUACCCAUGCUUUAUUUUCUUAUUUCCAUGGCUAAAAAUUGAGUUGGCAUGAUGAAACCCAUGAAGGCCGAAUUCUAGAGAGAGAGAGUUUGGUGAUGGCUUGUGUCACGACCCAAAUUCCGGGUCAUGACCGGCGCAUGGGUCCAAUGGACGUAAUCCACUAAAUCCAAGCAAGCCUAUUAUUUAUUUUACUUAUGAUUCUAUUUAUUAUCACUAAGUCCUAUUUCAUGACUUUGAGUCAAAAUAGUGAUAUAAAUUGCCAACUCGUACUGGCAUUACUCUUUUAAAAUUUACAUUAAGUUCAUCUAUACAUAACAAAAUAUUACUCGACCUCCAG
rnacentral:lncRNA from 1 species